UUUCCGUAGGUGAACCUGCGGAAGGAUCAUUAUUGUAUAACGGAGGUGCGAGGGCUGUCGCUGACCCGAAUGUUUCUUCACUCCCGAGUGCCCUCACACCCAUCCAUCUCACCCCUAUGUGCACCACCGCGUGGGUCCCCCCUUCGCUUGAUCGGUGGAGGGCUUACGUUAGCUCACAAACUUUGUAUGCAGUGAAGAAUGUAUUUAUUUUUUUUGCGAGCACUCAAUCAUUACACCUUUCAACAACGGAUCUCUUGUCGCUCGCAUAGAUGAAGAACG
rnacentral:misc_RNA from 1 species